GCCGGCGGCGGCGGUCGCGGGCGGCCGAGCCGCUCGGGGCCCGGCAGCGCUGCCCAUGGGGGAGUGCGGGGUGCCCGCCCAGGUCCAGCUCUUCCUCCGCGCCUGCGAGCAGGGCGACUGCGAGACCGCCCGACGCCUCUUGGGGCUGUCCGGUGGCGGCGGCUCCGCCGAUCCGGGGGCCCCCUCUUCCUCCUCAUGCGGCCCCGAGGAGGCGGCGGCGGAGCCCCGCGGUGAAGCGUCGUCCCCGCCGGCUUCCCCCGUGCCCGUGGACUGCACGGACGAGGCCGGUAACACGGGGCUGCAGUUCGCCGCGGCGGGGGGCCACGAGCAGCUGGUGCGGUUCCUGCUGCGGAAGGGUGCCUCGGUGCAGAGCAGGAACCACUACGGAUGGAGCCCCCUCAUGCAAGCGGCCAGGUUUGGACAUCUAAGCGUGGCCCACAUCUUGCUGGAGAAUGGUGCUGAUCUCAAUGCACAGAACAAGUUAGGAGCCAGUGUCCUCACAAUGGCCUCCAGAGGUGGCCACGUCAGCAUGGUGAAAUUGUUGCUGGAAUCCGGAGCUUUUGUGGACAAUUAUGACCAUUUUAGCACAAAUGUACUUCACAGCAGCAGAGACGACCUUCCUGAUAUCACUCCACUGAUGGCAGCUGCUCAGCAUGGACAUGAGGCAGUGGUACAUCUGCUAUUGGACUGGGGAGCUGAUUGUAACUACACUGUAAAGACAAUGGGCUGGAGUCCUUUAAUGCUGGCAGCCGUUAGUGGAAAGGUGAGCUUGGCACAGCAGCUCGUGGAGAAAGGUGCCAAUCCUGAUCACUUGAAUGUACUACAUAAAACACCUUUUGACAUCUCUGUUGGCUUCAAACACAAAGACAUGAAGGACUAUUUGGAAUCUCUCACAACGAUCAGACCUCAGGCAGAUACAGAAAAGAGUCAACCUGAUGUCUUUCAUGCUUUGAAACUGGGAGACUUUCAGCUGGUUAAAGAGAUUGUUGAUGAAGAUCCAAGUCAGGUUAAUAUUACCAAUGCUGACGGUGCAUCUCCUUUAAUGAUUGUGGCUGUAACUGGACAGCUGCCCCUUGUACAGCUCCUUGUUGAGAAAAGGGCUGAUAUUGAUAAGCAAGAUAAUGUUCAUGGCUGGACAGCUCUAAUGCAGGCCACGUACCAUGGAAACAAAAAUGUUGUAAAGUAUUUGUUAAAUCAAGGAGCUGACGUUAACCGUCGUGCAAGAAAUGGAUACACAGCUUUUGACCUGAUAAUGCUGCUGAAUGAUCCAGACACAGAGCUUGUAAGGUUAUUGGCAUCAGCAUGCAUGGAUAAAGACAAGAAUAAACUGAACAACAGAUCAUCUCUGCCUUGUUCCAGAAGUAGGCAAUCCUUAAACAUCCCAAUGUUGCCAGAUGACAAGGGAGGCCUAAAGUCCUGGUGGAGCAGGAUGUCCAAUCGAUUCCGCAAGCUGAAGUUGACUCAGACAUUGCGCCAUGGAUUUCCUUCCAAUCAGUUUGCGCCUUUUCCGGAUGAGCCCGAACCAUCAUUAAAUUCCACUAUAAAAGGAGCCUCACAGAGUGAUACGGACACCUCUGGAAACCUUGAUGCUGCUACAGCUUGGAACACAAAUAACAAAGCUGGUGGUGCAAACACUGCGAAAGGAGGAAAGGACGAUGAAUUAUUGACAACCAUGCUGAGGAGUAGUGCUCCAUUUACCAGGCUGCCCAGUGAUAAGCUGAAAGCAGUGAUACCACCUUUCUUACCACCCUCAAGCUUUGAGCUUUGGAAUUCUGACCGAACACGACUCAGCAAAGAUGGCAAAUCUGAACAGAUGAGAACUGCCUGGCCACAGAGAGCCAUCAAGCACGAUUUUAACAGCAGUGGGAAUUCUGAUAUAACAUCUGUUAGCAAAGGUACUAGACCAGUCAAAUUACCAACAUUUGCAAGAAGGCCAGCAUCUCCUUCAAAUUCCAAUAACUUCAACCAUUCUCCCCAUUCUUCUGGUGGAUCCAAUAACAUCUCAGGAAUUAACAGGCACGGAGGAGAACUGCAUAACAGAUCAGGUGGCAGUGCAGAUAAUGUUUUGUCUCAGAUUGCAGCCCAAAGAAGAAAAGCAGCAGGCUUACCUGAACAGAAACCCAGCCAACAGCACAGUCCAGUCCAGUCAACUCCUUCAUCUACUCUGUCAGAUUUGCAGUGUGCUCAGAUUGUUGGCAAUGGACAUGUUGUAAAGCAAAAACUGGAGAUGAAUAAAAGACCUCCAUCUGGGACUUCAUCUACGUCUAAAAGCACAUCACCAACUCUCACACCUUCCCCGUCACCUUCCCCAUCUCCUAAGGUUCAAAACACAGAGUCUUCUGUCUCUUCUUCUCACAGACACGCCAAGAGCAACGGCUCCAGCAGUGGUACUAUCACAGAGGAUGGCAACCACUUGGUGGACCAUCAACAGCUUGGCUCUAUGCUGAGAGCCAGUGAUGUAGAGAAUAAUGAAAGACGAAACCAUGUGAGAGUAAAAGAAGGCUCUGAAAACUUGGAGAAAGAUGAGCUGACUGGCAUCCUUAAAAAAUUGUCACUUGAGAAAUAUCAGCCUAUAUUUGAGGAACAGGAGGUGGAUAUGGAAGCUUUUCUUACACUUACUGAUGGUGAUCUGAAAGAGCUGGGUAUUAAAACUGAUGGAUCAAGACAGCAAAUUUUGGCAGCUAUUUCUGAACUGAAUGCAGGAAAGGGUCGAGAGAGACAGAUUUUACAGGAAACUAUACACAACUUCCACUCUUCCUUUGAGAGUAGUGUUAGUAACACACGGCCGCCAGGUCAUUCCCAAUCAUGCAUGGGAACUUCUGAAUGUCUCUUGGUAACAUCCCAGAGCUGAAGAACCUCUUCUGUAGGUACUACUAGGUGAGCAGAAGCUAUUUGGGAUUUGAUUGCAUGGUGCAAAGAACUGGAAUUACUCAAGAACCAAAGAAGCAUAGAGAUGUAACAUACCUGCAAGCAACUUGCUGACCUUAAGUGUCUUGAAGACAUCAAAGGACAAGAGUGGUGGCACAGAGCUGGGGACAGCAUCCUUUUGUAAGAAUGGAGGCAACAGUUGCUCCUGUUGAGCUUUUGACAAGAUGCUGCAAGGAGGUUGCAUCAGAGAUUAGCUUUUGGGUUUUGUGUUUGAGAGCUCCAUGAUACAGAUUUUGCUGUGAAACAGAAGCACUAACAGAAAAGAGGAAGAGAACACAUAGAUAAAAGAAGUUUCUGCACCAGGUUAAGGUAUCUUGGACUCCCACCUAAGGAAGGCUUCUGAAAUUGUAUCCUUCCCAAGUUUUUCCAUGCACCUGGCUGCUCUUCAAAACCACAAGAAGCCGUUUCUUCUAAAAGGUAGCUACUGGAACAAAAUAUUUUUUUUUAUGGUGAAGUUUGGCAUCUGACUAAGUAAAUCCAAGUGUACAAAUGAAAAUUAGAAAGGUUAGUCCUGACUACACUGACAUAGGAUUUUCUGCAGUAACAUGCUUAAAAUACAAAACCCACAAAAAGUAAAAGAAAAUAAUAAAGAGAUUACUUCUGUAGUUCAACCUAAGUGUUGAAUUGUUCAAGGCAUCAGUGGUCUGGAUUUAAGGAAAACAGAGAAGAGCAGGAAGAAUGGAUAAACAUGCAAGAAGAUGGAUGUUUCAUUCCACUCUUGCCUGUAGAUGAAGAACCAUGGGAGACCUACAUGAGCACAGUCAAGGGCAACAAAAGCACAGAAGAAGGCAAGAAGCCCACCCCAAAUUGUGACACCUCCUACGUGGGGAAAUACAUAAACUGAAUAUGCCUCUGUUGAUUGGAUACAGAUAAAGGAGUCCAGAUUGAAAAUGUAACGGUUUCAUGGGAAGAAAUAUAAAGAAGUAAUGCUGCAUUCUUCGUUAACCAAAAUAUACUUUAUCUAUUCAAUAUUAUGAGGUUAAAACAGCAGUAAAAGUAAAAAUGAAAUACCUAUUUGUAAAAACAGCACUUUAUUUGAGGAAAUGCAUUAUCUGUCACCAAUAUUUAAACAGAAUGUUAAAAUAUUUUAUAUAGCUGACUUUUUUUGAGAAUAAAACCUUUUACCUGGUA